rnacentral:rRNA from 1 species
UGGGGAAUAUUGGACAAUGGGGGGAACCCUGAUCCAGCCAUGCCGCGUGUGUGAAGAAGGCCUUAUGGUUGUAAAGCACUUUAAGCGAGGAGGAGGGUACUGGUAUUAAUACUACCAGGUACUGGACGUUACUCGCAGAAUAAGCACCGGCUAACUCUGUGCCAGCAGCCGCGGUAAUACAGAGGGUGCAAGCGUUAAUCGGAUUUACUGGGCGUAAAGCGUGCGUAGGCGGCUAAUUGAGUCGGAUGUGAAAUCCCCGAGCUUAACUUGGGAAUUGCAUUCGAUACUGGUUAGCUAGAGUGUGGGAGAGGAUGGUAGAAUUCCAGGUGUAGCGGUGAAAUGCGUAGAGAUCUGGAGGAAUACCGAUGGCGAAGGCAGCCAUCUGGCCUAACACUGACGCUGAGGUACGAAAGCAUGGGGAGCAAACAGG